CGUAGGGUGCGAGCGUUAAUCGGAAUUACUGGGCGUAAAGCGUGCGUAGGCGGUGAUCUUUGUCAGAGGUGAAAGCCCGGGGCUCAACUCCGGAAUUGCCUUUGAAACGGGAUUGCUAGAGUCCGAGAGAGGAUGGCGGAAUUCCUAGUGUAGAGGUGAAAUUCGUAGAUAUUAGGAAGAACACCGGUGGCGAAGGCGGCCAUCUGGCUCGGUACUGACGCUCAGGCGCGAAAGCGUGGGGAGCAAACAGGAUUAGAUACCCUGGUAGUCCACGCCGUAAACUAUGAAUGCUAGUUGUUAGGAAGUUUACUUCUUAGUGACGCAGCUAACGCGUUAAGCAUUCCGCCUGGGGAGUACGGUCGCAAGAUUA
rnacentral:rRNA from 1 species